rnacentral:rRNA from 1 species
UUGUGGCCUUUAGACAUACUACCAACGGCGGCGCGAGCGUAAGCCUCUUGGAACAGARCGUCUACGUGGGUGAGAAUCCUGUGUUUCGCUUGAUGCCCGCCGUGCACGGUACUUGCUCUCAGAGUCACGCUCCUCGGAAUUGGAGCGUAAAUUGGGUGGUAAAUUUCAUCUAAAGCUAAAUACAGGCUCGAGACCGAUAGCAAACAAGUACCAUGAGGGAAAGAUGAAAAGGACUUUGAAAAGAGAGUUAAAAGUGCUUGAAAUCGCUGAACUGGAAGCGAAUGGAACUAGUGCUCUGGUUGAGAKUGCUGUAAAUGGCUGCGACAUCUGGGCUCUGGAACGCAAGUCCUUUGUCUGGCUUGAAGUAGUCGCUUGCAAUGUGUCUCAGCUUGAACAUCAACUUCUAUGCAUACGUGAGGAUGGCCCUUGGCUCAUGCUGUGUUGCUGUGGCGAUACUCUUGGUGCUUCUGG